rnacentral:rRNA from 1 species
GACAGAGGGUGCAAGCGUUGUCCGGAAUUAUUGGGCGUAAAGAGCUCGUAGGCGGCUUGUCACGUCGGGUGUGAAAGCCCGGGGCUUAACCCCGGGUCUGCAUUCGAUACGGGCAGGCUAGAGUGUGGUAGGGGAGAUCGGAAUUCCUGGUGUAGCGGUGAAAUGCGCAGAUAUCAGGAGGAACACCGGUGGCGAAGGCGGAUCUCUGGGCCAUUACUGACGCUGAGGAGCGAAAGCUAGGGGAGCGAACGGG